rnacentral:ncRNA from 1 species
CGAGCCGGCUCCUCGUACGGGGUCCGUCCACGACGCCAAACGGCGGCUGGAUGCAAGGACCCGCGAUGCCCCGGUGGAGUGAGGUGAGCGCAUG